GCUGGGUGUGGUGGCACAUGCCUUUAAUCCCAACAGCUCGGGAGGCUGAGGCAGGAGGAUCCCAAGUUCCAGGCCAGCCGUAGCAAUUUAUCGAGGCCCUAUGCAACUUGGUGAGACCCUGUCUCAA
rnacentral:sRNA from 1 species